UGAUGACACUGGACCUUGUCUGACUACAAAAUGAUUUCAAAUUUGAGCUUAAAGGGAUAUUCUGAAAACCAGUCAGUGUGCCUCAAUAAACACAAUAGAGCACUUUAAUCUUAUAAAAUCCAUAAUGUGAAAACUUUGAGUAUUUAAAACUGGCAUUUGUAUCAAGGCACUUUGCCAAAUCCUCUCCUAUCUUAUUUUCCCAAGUAUGCUGAGGUUUUUUUUCAUAUUUUGCACUUUGUAUUUUUUGAAAGAUUAACGGAAACAUACUUGCAUGAGAAAAGGCAUAGGCAUCUGGUGAGAUGGAAAUGGAAGAGUAACAAUGAAACUGGCAACUCUUGAAAAAAGCAAAGAUCAUACUCAUGUCCGGGAGUGGGAUCAAAAGAAAAUAAGUAUCAAAUGUGCAUUAUGGAACACACAGUAUGAUGAGUGAUUUUGUGAAGACCAUUCAACAUAGAAACUUUUGCAUCAAAAUUUUACAGUGGAGAAAACAGUGUUGAUUACUUCAAGAAAGAAAGGAACAAUGAAAUUUCAGAUGACCAUUAGAAAGCCAUAUUUGAAGCUGCCUUGGGGGCAGCUGGUGAAGUCAUCAGGAACACUCCUUUUGAGUACCUUAAUAAUUUACAUGUCUUCACUAUAAACCAUAGAAAUUUCUAAAGAUAUUCAACAUGGAGAUCCACUUACCUGCUAUAUUUGCUCUUUCUUCUGUGAGGUGAUUACUGGAAAGGAUCUUAUGCAAUUUUUUCUACUAAUUGCUUCACUAAAAUAAAAAAUGGUUUUCAUAAUGCUCAGGGAGUUCUCACUAAACAUGUGUGGCAAAGGACGGUCCUUGCUGAUCAGAAACCCUGGAUUCAGAAAGCCCAUUUUGGAAGGAAACCUAAAGGAUACCUUUGAAGGAAAUACUGUUAGUAAUAAUUGUUGAUGAACUAAAUCACAAGAGCUGGUUUAUGGAGACAUUGGUACACAGAUGACUUUAAUUGGUGGAAUUAACAGUGCAUCCUUAAAAUGCUCCCUGUCUAAUUCACAUGUAAUAUUUCCAUCCAGUUUAAUAGAUUAAUUAGGAGUGAUUACAUUUUUUAAUGUUGAGUCUUCUUAUCCAGCUGCAAGGCCUCUUUCCAAACAAAGGACCAAAGACACUUUUCUUGAAGGUAGAGGCCUUUUGGACAAGUGCAUUACCUAUGCCUUCUGCAGUGGUUUAAUCCAUAUCACCCAAGUAUUGCCAUCAUUUAUCCUUUCUGGGAUCUUGUUGCAUCUGUGUCUCACUCCUUUUAUAGAAGACUGCCUAGAAAUAGAAAGUGACCUGCUUUUCGGCAAGUAAUUGCCUAGAAUUUUGAAUACAUAACAAAUGUUCUCAUUAUAUCUUAUGCUUCCCUCUAUGGUUGUAUAUUUGCUGCUUCAUUUUGUUCACAUUUUGCUUUGCUAAUGUAAAAGUGGUUUGUGUGAGCAGUGUAUUUAGUAAAAUUCUUUGGUGACCUUUGUUAUACAGUAAACAAUAAUAAGGCAUUCUACAUAGGUGAAUGAUUAGUGUGUGCCAUUUUUGUAAAAUACUUUCCCCUUUGUUUGAGUCAGAAAGUCCAGAGUUUUAGGCAAGACCUAAAAUUAUUUUAAAUAUUUCCUAUCUGGUGUAUACCCUCUAGUUUACCCUUUUGUUGAAUAUAUAUGGGUCUCAUUCUUGGUCAGAAAUAAACUGACUGUGCUUUGCCUCUUUUCCAAUGCUAAAACCUAAGAUUAAGAUGUCAUCACAACUUUGAAUGUUUAACAGAGAGCCAGAUAUUUAUCUCGACAUUUACAGCCAUGGUGAUGUCAUCUUAUAGAAAAUGUAGUCCCAUCAAUUUCUUGGUAGUGAUCUCUUCUUUGGAUGGAAUAAAAAUCUCAGUACCAAAGUUA